rnacentral:rRNA from 1 species
UACGAAGGGGGCUAGCGUUGCUCGGAAUCACUGGGCGUAAAGCGCACGUAGGCGGAUCGCUAAGUCAGGGGUGAAAUCCUGGAGCUCAACUCCAGAACUGCCUUUGAUACUGGCAAUCUCGAGUCCGGGAGAGGUGAGUGGAACUGCGAGUGUAGAGGUGAAAUUCGUAGAUAUUCGCAAGAACACCAGUGGCGAAGGCGGCUCACUGGCCCGGUACUGACGCUGAGACGCGAAAGCGUGGGGAGCGAACAGG